UGCUUGCAUAUGGCUCACUGGGGC
rnacentral:piRNA from 1 species